rnacentral:rRNA from 1 species
UACGGGGGGAGCAAGCGUUGUUCGGAUUUACUGGGCGUAAAGGGCGCGUAGGCGGCCACCGCAAGUCAGUUGUGGAAUCUCUGGGCUUAACCCAGAAAGGUCAACUGAUACUGCGGGGCUAGAGUGCAGAAGGGGCAACUGGAAUUCUCGGUGUAGCGGUGAAAUGCGUAGAUAUCGAGAGGAACACCUGCGGCGAAGGCGGGUUGCUGGGCUGACACUGACGCUGAGGCGCGAAAGCUAGGGGAGCGAACGGG